rnacentral:tRNA from 1 species
GUUAGUAUAGUUUAAACAAAACACCGGUCUUGUAAACCGAAAAUGAAUUUACUUCUACUAUC